rnacentral:piRNA from 1 species
UGCCUUGUUCAGUUCAGUUUUAAAUGCAUGG